rnacentral:rRNA from 1 species
GAACAACGCUGGCGGCGUGCCUAACGCAUGCAAGUCGGGCGGGGUCGCCUUUCGGGGCGGCCCAGCGGCGGACGGGUGAGGAGCGCGUGAUCGACCUGCCCGGGAGUGGGGGCCAACCCGGGAACCGGGGCUGUUACCGCAUGCGUCCGGCGGCCGGUGGGGCCGCCGGGGAAAGCCGCCUUUCGGGGCGGCGCUCCCGGAGGGGAUUGCGUCCGAUUAGCUAGUCGGCGGGGUGACGGCCCACCGAGGCGACGAUCGGUCGCGGGCUGAGAGGACGGCCCG